AAACCAUGAUGACAGAAUGUUCUCCUGCACAUUCCUAUUUAGCCAUUGUUACUCACUGUUAGAUAGUGUAUUAACGCAUACAUGCUCACAAGGAGAAGCUAGCUUUCUAAUGUCUGCAGAGUGAGUGAGUUAAAGUUUAACAUCGCCUCAGGAUUACUUCAGCCAUAUAGCGACUAAUAUCUGCAGAGAUGAGGAGGAGGAGGAGGAGGAGGAUGACAUACAUACUUGUACCUCCUACAACUUUAUCUAUAUACAAUGCAAUCUAACCACCUCACAAGCACAGAACAGCACAUGAGGCAACAACAAGGUGGCAACAGGAUUAAACAGUUAUCAUCCAUGGGACGGGACUUGUCUCCAUGGCAUUUCUAUUUCAAGAUAUAUACAAAGAUAUAGGCUUCACACAUUGUAGUCAUGUGGGGAAUCAAACCAAGGUCUUCAGCAUGAUGAGCAAAUGCUGUAACUGCUUGGCUAUCCCCAACACCCGUGAGGGAGCUAAGAGGAAAUGGAGGAACUAGAGGGCAGUUUUGGUCACAUGCUGGAAAUUCAAGAGUAAAAUUGUAUAACAUACCACUUAUUCAUACAUAUAUUAUGGGUGAAACGAUACAGCAAGGUCAUAACACGAUAUGUAUCACGAUACAUAGGUCAUGAUGGAAAACAUAUCACGAUGUGCAUAUUUACGUCAAAUCGUGUGGAAAUUUCUUGACUCUAAAAUAUUUCAGAGCAGGUUCAAAAGGAAAAUCUAGCUGUGGACACAUAUUCGUAGAGGCUAUUUUUUGUAGUGAACUUGAAAUGUUAAUUACCACACAUUUUGCCGAUAUUUGUCUUACAAAAACACUGGGGGGUCAUUAAACGAGUAGUAAGUGAUGUAUUUUAGAAAGUGUAUUGUCUUGCAAUGAUACAGAAAGAAACAUAGUGUAUCGUAAUGUUGCAUGAAAACUCAUGGUGUACCAGUUCACUGAUGUAUCGUUUCAUUCCCAACAUAUAUGAUCAAACAUUCUGUUGAAUAUAAUGUCCAUUCUCAUUAUACGUUCAUUGACAAGAUUAAAAGUACUUUACCAAAGAAAACUUAAAUCUACUUCCGACAAAAGACAAAUAUAAUCACGACAAGGACACUAACAGAGAAAUCUGUCAGCUUGUUGUAAGGUGAUUAACACAACUGCUUCCUGAUGAUGAAAUAAAUACGUUUGCAGGAAUUCUCAUGGAAACAAAUACAAAAGCAGAUGUAUAAGCUUCAAGUAAAUACAUUUCACUUUUUCUGAAAAUGCCUUUUUAUCAGUUGAGACAACAUGUUUAAGCUGAAUUUUCAAACAAUUUAAUUCAAUUAUGUCUGUGGUUUACUUCAAAACAACAUCACAUAUUUCAGAUGAAAGCAACUGCUUAGCAGAGGGGAAAUGUAAUAUUGACAGUUAAAAUAACAGUUUCAGUGGUGUGUAAGUCUGUGUUUAAAAUAGCUGUACAUACAAAUAAUUACAGAUUAACAGAGCUAGAACAAAGCUGCCCAAUGUGUUGGAAGCAUCGUCAAUGGCAGAUAUG